rnacentral:misc_RNA from 1 species
AACCUAGCACACCUGCGGUGUGUACCUGCGGAGGGAUCAUUAACAAGCCCGUGAAGAUCACAUUCCAAGUGGAUGUGAUUUUUCACCCCGGCCACCCUUGUUUACCUUAACCCUGUUGCUUUGGUGGGCCUGCCAGAAAGGCCGCUGGGGAACUUUGUUUCCGGGCGAGUGCUCACCAAAGUCCUAUUGAACUCUUUAUGAAGUUAUGCUGUCUGAGCACGCGAAAACCAAUGGUUAUAU